CCCGGGGCUGCUCCCGCAGCCAAACGCGCUCUGCAGAACCAGCCCCGCUUUAGAAAAAGAGCAUUUCUGAGCUGGGGUGCAUGUCUGACACCGGGAGAGGCUGGUGCACAGCGACGGACUCUCUGUCUCUAAAUAAUGGAGAGAUUAAGCUCCACGUUGGGAUCUGCUUGUUCCUGCUGAAAUCGAUGGAAGUUCUCCUUCACAGCUGAUUGCAGUGGGGAAAAAUGGAUCCAGCUUAUGCAGAAUAAUGACAGGAGGGGGAAGGGGGUGUUGGUGAUGACACAAAGAGAGAGAAGAAAUAAAUCUCACUGGGACAGUGUGGACAGGAGCGCCUGUUUGCUCUGGAAAGAACUGGAAGAAGAAGAAAAGGAGUGGAUUGCUGCAGUACAUUAAUUGUACAAGAACUGCAAAAUGGCUGAAACCAGAGGGAUGAUAUUUAUAAAGCUGUCUAGUUUUGAAAAGAUCAAAGGCAUAGGUAGAGAAAUAAUCCAUUGG